GUUGUCGCAGGGACAGGACAGUCUUCCUCUACUAAGGCCGAAUGCUGUUCCCGUUUAUGGACAGACCACACUUUGUUUAUCCGUUCAUGAUUGGACACGGGGGUUGCUCCCAGCUCUAGGCCACCAUGAUUCAUGUGGCCACACAUGGCCGUGUCUGUUUGAGCCCGUGCUGUCUCCUCUUGUGGGUGUCGGGCACC
rnacentral:lncRNA from 1 species